CCCUAUGGGGUGCAGCAGGCGCGAAACCUUUACAAUGCACGCAAGUGUGAUAAGGGAACCCAAAGUGCUUAGCUUUGCUAGGCUUUUGCCGUAUGUAAAUAGUACGGAGAAUAAGCGGUGGGAAAGACUGGUGCCAGCCGCCGCGGUAACACCAGCGCCGCAAGUGGCGAUCCUGUUUAUUUGGCCUAAAGCGUCCGUAGCUGGUUAAGUAAAUCUUUUGUGAAAUUGUUCUGCUUAACAGAACAGCGUGCAGGAGAGACUGCUUAGCUAGGGACCGGGAGGAGUCAGAGAUAUGCUGGGGGGAGCGGUAAAAUGCUAUAAUCCUCAGUAGAUCACCUGUGGCGAAGGCGUCUGACUAGAACGGGUCCGACAGUGAGGGACGAAAGCCAGGGGAGCAAACCGGAUUAGAUACCCGAGUAGUCCUGGCCGUAAACGCUGCGAGUUAGGUGUUGCAUAAUCUCCGUGAUUAUGCAGUGUCGAAGCGAAGGUGUUAAACUCGCCGCCUGGGAAGUAUGGUCGCAAGACUGAAACUUAAAGGAAUUGGCGGGGGAGCACUACAAGGGGUGCGGCGUGCGGUUUAAUCUAACUUCACACAGAGAAUCUCACCAGAAGCGACGGCAGGAUGAAGGUCAGUCUAAAGGGCUUACCUGACGAGCCGAGAGGUGGUGCAUGGCC
rnacentral:rRNA from 1 species